rnacentral:rRNA from 1 species
GAUGAACGCUGGCGGCGUGCUUAACACAUGCAAGUCGAACGGUGAAGCAGAGCUUGCUCUGUGGAUCAGUGGCGAACGGGUGAGUAACACGUGAGCAACCUGCCCCUGACUCUGGGAUAAGCGCUGGAAACGGCGUCUAAUACUGGAUACGAGCUGGAACCGCAUGGUUACCGGUUGGAAAGAUUUUUUGGUUGGGGAUGGGCUCGCGGCCUAUCAGCUUGUUGGUGAGGUAAUGGCUCACCAAGGCGUCGACGGGUAGCCGGCCUGAGAGGGUGACCGGCCACACUGGGACUGAGACACGGCCCAGACUCCUACGGGAGGCAGCAGUGGGGAAUAUUGCACAAUGGGCGGAAGCCUGAUGCAGCAACGCCGCGUGAGGGAUGACGGCCUUCGGGUUGUAAACCUCUUUUAGCAGGGAAGAAGCGAAAGUGACGGUACCUGCAGAAAAAGCGCCGGCUAACUACGUGCCAGCAGCCGCCGUAACAC